rnacentral:rRNA from 1 species
AACCAGCACCUCAAGUGGUCAGGAUGAUUAUUGGGCCUAAAGCAUCCGUAGCCGGCUCUGUAAGUUUUCGGUUAAAUCUGUACGCUUAACGUACAGGCUGCCGGGAAUACUGCAAAGCUAGGGAGUGGGAGAGGUAGACGGUACUCGGUAGGAAGUGGUAAAAUGCUUUGAUCUAUCGAUGACCACCUGUGGCGAAGGCGGUCUACCAGAACACGUCCGACGGUGAGGGAUGAAAGCUGGGGGAGCAAACCGGAUUAGAUACCCGGGUAGUCCCAGCUGUAAACUAUGCAAACUCAGUGAUGCAUUGGCUUGUGGCCAAUGCAGUGCUGCAGGGAAGCCGUUAAGUUUGCCGCC